rnacentral:misc_RNA from 1 species
GAUGAAGAACGUAGCGAAAUGCGAUAAGUAGUGUGAAUUGCAGAAUUCAGUGAAUCAUCGAAUCUUUGAACGCACAUUGCGCCCCUUGGUAUCCCGAGGGGCAUGCCUGUUCGAGCGUCAUUUCACCACUCAAGCCUGGCUUGGUGUUGGGCGACGUCCCCUUUGGGGACGCGCCUCGAAACGCUCGGCGGCGUGGCACCGGCUUUAAGCGUAGCAGAAUCUUUCGCUUUGGAAGUCGGGGCCCCGUCUGCCGGAAGACCUACUCGCAAGGUUGACCUCGGACCAGGCAGGGAUACCCGCUGAACUUAAGCAUAUCAAUAAGCGGAGGA